GUAGCCUGUUCAGAUUGGCUCCUUCCUCCUAGUAAUAUGCAUUUAAGUUUCCUCCAUAUCUUUUCCUGGCUCAAUAGCUCAUGUCUCUUUAGCCCUGAAGAGCUGUCCAUCUUCUGAAUGCACUACAGUUCAUUUAUCCAUUCACUUAUUGAAAGACAUCUGGGUUGCUUUUGAGGCUGAGCAGUUAUGAACAAAGCUACUAUAAAUGUCAACGUGCAGGUUUUUGUUUGAACGAUGAUGUGAAUAAACUUAAAUGGGAGGUUAGAAGAUUUUUGCAAGCAAAUAUAAAGGUGUUUGAAAAUUAGGACUCCUGGAGCACCUAACAUGAGUAGAGGGAAAAGAUGUUUUCCUCCCCUACACAGCUGACUACAGAGAAAAUCAGCUCAUGAAUUUCAACCAAUAUAAGAUAUUCUCUUGGAGAAAUGCAGUGAGAACUGUUACACUA